CCUAUGGGAGGCAGCAGUGGGGAAUAUUGCACAAUGGGCGAAAGCCUGAUGCAGCCAUGCCGCGUGUGUGAAGAAGGCCCUAGGGUUGUAAAGCACUUUCAGUGGGGAGGAAAGGUUGAAGGUUAAUACCCUUCGGCUGUGACGUUACCCACAGAAGAAGCACCGGCUAACUCCGUGCCAGCAGCCGCGGUAAU
rnacentral:rRNA from 1 species